GCGCGCGCGCGCGGCCUUCCCUCCCCCCAGCGCCCCCGGGCCCGCGGCUCCCAGAGGUGGGAGCGUGCGGGGCCUGGCGGGGGCGGAGCCUGGGGCCGGGCGCGCGCCGGGGUGCCCCUCCCCGCCUCCGCCCCCGCCCGACGCGCGGGCUCCGCCGACCUCCUGGUCAAUGGGAACGCGGGACUGGGCUGCCCGCGCCGCGGUCAGGUGGGCCCCCCAGCUCGCGCCCCGCGCCGCCCUGCUCGUCCUCCCGCUUCCGCUCCAUCUUGGCUCCAGCAGCUCGCCUUCUUGGUUACUCUUCUGCUGUCAGGGCUGUGGCAGCCGAGACCAAGUGACCUCAGCAAACGCGAGGAGACAGUGGGUCUGAGUAAACCCGCGUUCCGGUGAAUUCGCCUGGGGCAUGGGGGCGGUCGCGGAUUGUUCUUUUCCUGCGACCCACCAUCAUUAAUUGAGCACCUAGUAUGUGAGAGUAGAGGCUGUGAGGAGAGGAACACAGCAGGAUGAGACAAAGCCAGGGCCUGUUCUCUAGGAGCCUCUACCUCCCUGUGCCUUCGCGGACCCUGCUCUGAGAUUCCCCGCCAUAGGUUGCUAAGAUGAUUAUGCAGAUCUGAUAUAGGGAAAAACUUCAGCAACUCACCCAGAUUCUGCUAUCCCUACAAGGCUGCAUCCGAAAGACCAAAGAGCUCUUCAUGGUCGACUUUGUGAAAAGGAGACCUGGAAAAGAGUCUUCUUGUUGGGGACCCUGGCCUGGGUUGGAGAAUCCUGGGAAGGAUCUACAAUCUACAACCUGGUGUAGAGGAGUCUAGGGUAAGAAGGAGAAUGUAGAACUUCUGCGUAGUUCACAAUUGUUACCUGACCUCCUAAGCUUUUUAUAUGUUGAAGACUGAUGUUUUACAUCAAGACUCCAAAGGUGAAGGGUUUCAGCAGAGCAGUCUGGGAGGACAGAGAGAGCCCAUCAAACGUCUGUGUCUCAGGGGCCAUCCAGGCCACUGGUCUGUACUACUGAUGGGAACAUCAAGGUCCAAGGAGGUGACGUCAGGGGGUUACUCAGCUUCCUAGAAGAUUAAAUGAUUUUUAACAGCCCAAGAACUGCAGGAGUCAGUCAUACUCCCUGACCUUCAUUCCUCCUUCUUUCUCUUCUCUAAAUGGCUAAGCCUGCAGUUUGGAAGCAGGAAGUCUGGGCUCAAGUCCCAGCUGUGCUGGCUUCUCAGCCUUGUGAUAUUUCGCAAUUCCUUCUACCUUGCAGAGCCUCAGUUUUCUCAUCUGCAAAGUGGGAAUAAUGGCAUUAAAUAAGGUAAGGGUUGCAAAACGUUUGCCCAGGUUCUGAUAGCCUAGAAAGCAUUCCGUAAAUGAAAACUAGCAUCAUUAUUACAGGCCGUAUUAGUUUCCCAGAGCGCAGGCCCUGUCCAUUAGCGGGCGCCUGAGAUAAUCAGAGGUGGCACCUUGA